rnacentral:rRNA from 1 species
UUCUGGUUGAUCCCGGCGGAGGCUACUGCUAUUGGGAUUCGAUUAAGCCAUGCGAGUUGAAUGAAUUUAGAUUCAUGGCGUACGGCUCAGUAACACGUGGAUAACUUACCCUUAGGACUGGGAUAACUCUGGGAAACUGGGGAUAAUACCGGAUAUUAGGCUAUGGCUGGAAUGCUUUGCCUUUGAAAUGUUUCUUGUAUUCGCCUAAGGAUAGAUCUGCGGCUGAUUAGGUCGUUGGUGGGGUAAUGGCCCACCAAGCCUAUGAUCGGUACGGGUUGUGAGAGCAAGAGCCCGGAGAUGGAACCUGAGACAAGGUUCCAGGCCCUACGGGGCGCAGCAGGCGCGAAACCUCCGCAAUGUGAGAAAUCGCGACGGGGGGAUCCCAAGUGCCAUUCUUAACGGGAUGGCUUUUCUUAAGUGUAAAAAGCUUUUGGAAUAAGAGCUGGGCAAGACCGGUGCCAGCCGCCGCGGUAACACCGGCAGCUCUAGUGGUAGCUACUUUUAUUGGGCCUAAAGCGUUCGUAGCCGGUUUGAUAAGUCUUUGGUGAAAGCUUAUGGCUUAACUGUAAGAAUUGCUGAAGAUACUGUCAGACUUGAAGUCGGGAGAGGUUAGAGGUACUACCGGGGUAGGGGUGAAAUCCUAUAAUCUGGGGAGGACACCUGUGGCGAAAGCGUCUAACUGGAACGAUCUUGAAGGUGAGUAAGAAAGCCAGGGGCCCGAACCGAUUAGAUACCCGGUUGUCCUGCCCGUAACAAUGUGGACUUGGUGUGGGAAUGGCUCAAGUUUUUCCCUGGGCAAAGGGAGCGGUUUAGUCCACCCCUGGGAAGACGGUUUAAG